CCUUGUAUCUGCCUCAGCACUUAAUGGAGUGACAGACGCACCACCAGCAGGUAGAGAAGGUGGAAACCUGAGUUCAAUCCAAAGUUCAUUUGCCAUCAACAACUGGCCAGAGAGGUGGCUGUCUCACUGGAACAUACACGCAGCGCUACCUGGGAUUUUGUCGUACGAAGACCACCUUGUCGAGGGGACAAAAAUAUGAACUAGCCCAAAAAAUGCUGUUAAGAAAAGAAACAUCAGCUGUUAGAAAAAGUAGGAGCUCUCAGUCUAACAGUACGAAAGAACACUUGGUCUGCGGCCGGCGGAGAUAGCGGGAGCAGCACCGUCCUACCAAGACGCCUUCCCGCUCGCCUGGCCUAGUUUCCGUGUUGUCCACCCGGCUUCUUGCUCUUGGGGACGAGGAACACGUGGCCGUCGCGCGUCUGCUGCAGGGAGUAGUCGGCCGGCGAGUAGGGCUGCCCGUCCUGGUCACGCAGCAUGCUGAAGACCUCCAGGUACAGGCUGCUCAGCUGCUGCUUCAGGAGGCGGAGGCUAAGGUCGUGCUCUCCCUUCUCCUUGAGCAACUUCUCCUUCUCGUCCUUCAGGUGAUCCAGGUCCUGCUCCAGUUCCACGAUGUUUUCCAGCUUGCGUUUACGGCAGUUCUGGGCGGCCACCUUGUUCUUGCCCCUCCGGCGGAUGUCACGGAUGAGCGCCAGCUGGGCUUCGCUGAACUGCUCCUUGGACAUCAUCUCAUUGAAGUCAUCCACGGGCAGGUUGAUGAUCUUUUCCACAGGGAAGGGGAUCUGCAGAGCCUUGGCCCUCUGCUCAUCCCGCGUGAAAUGCGCCUCCAGCCGGCCCGCGGGCCUGUCCCUGGUGCCUGGGGGCGGCCCCCGGCCGGCCAGCACCUCCUUCUUGGGUGGGUCUGCCUGUCUCCCGCCCUCGGCCCCCGCGUGCGGCCGGAUCUUGGCGCCACCGGGCGGGCCGCUGUCCACGUCGUCCGUCUCCGAGUCACUGGAGCCUGGGGCAGCAUCCCCGUCGACGGAGUCAGCCAAAGGCUCGGGGGAGGCUGCAGCAGGGCUCGUGUUGAGGGAGAUGCCUGAGUCGGCGUCGUUGGAUUCGGGCCGGCCACAGGGCCGGGGGGUAGCGAAGGCUUUGCACAGGGCCAAGUCAGCCAGGUCCACAGGCUCGUUCAGCAGGUCCGUGAGCGACCUGCUCGGAGCCCCCGCCCCCUCUGCCCCCGGCUCCAGCUCCACCACAAAUGUGGUGUAGAAAUCCUCACAGAAGUCAGGGCCAAGGGAGGGGCUGGGGGGCUGGGCGCAGGCGCCUGAUACACUGAGGUCUUGCGUGGGAAAGGCACUGCCCUCAAAAGCGCCAAGGAAGGCGGGGCUGCUGUCGCUCAUCUCUUUCUCAAUGGUGCAGGCCAGCGGGGAGAGCACGUCGUAGAAGCCAUAGGGGCGGUCUGCAGCGCCCGAUUUGGGUUCGGGACUCGGCAGUGGGGCCGCCUCAGCUUGCUUGUCAUUUUGAAUGUUAAGACACUGUGUGAAGAAGGGCAAAGGUGACGAGAACGCUGAGCAACUGAAGCCCGAUCCUAACGCUCAACCCAUCCACCCUGACAGGAGUGCAAGGAGGGCCAGCAGGCUUUCCAUCUCCUGCUCAGCCAGCCGGCCCUCCCCGGCUCCUGACUUUUCCCCUGCCAUCGAGCACGCCGCACCAAGGGAGUGUAGGGGAAAGAGGAGCGAGGCCACCUGCUCUGUGGAGCGGGGCUUGGUGGUGUCAGGCCUAGCCCAGGUGGAGGGUUUGGGCCCCAAGGGGGCUAUCUACAAAGGAGCCCACCAAGCGAUGAGUGAGCGAUCAAUCCCCUCACUUCUCUUGUACAGAAGGGCCUGAGUUCAGAUCCUAGGUUUGCCAUGUACUUUCGCUUUGUGAAAAGCAAAAUGACCGCGCCUUCACCUCCACCCAGUCCUCCCCUGUCCCCACUGGCAUGAAGGGAGGGGGCACGUGUUUGGGGUCUCUGCUUGGGCCCGGCGUCACCUGUAACUCUGGAAUGGACAGCAGCUCCUCCCACACUUGCUCUAUGUCUUGCAUAGCGGCUGAGUCCGUGGCGGCCGGCUCCAGGAUAGGGGCUUCGGCAGGAGCUGGAGUCGGGCUGGGAGGGACGAAGACAGGGCUGCUCUCGGCAGGGGGUGGACUGAGAGAUUGAAGUGUGGCUGGAGCAACCUAGGACCAAGCACGGAGACUUUAUCACCCCCCCACCCUAGGCCAAGUCCACCCAGGGGCUCUCCCAGUCAGCGUUAAUGAGGAGUAGGGCUGGGCUGCCCCACUGCCCCCAGCCUCAAAGCUCUGGCCCAGAGUUGCUCUUCCAUCUGGCAGUUGGAGAGAACCAGAAAGGUUGUGCUUUCCCAAGCUCUUAGUACAGUGCUCUGCACACAGUAAGCGCUCAAUAAAUACGAUGGAAUGAAUGAA